rnacentral:rRNA from 1 species
CUACCAUGCAGUCGAACGGCAGCACAGAAGAGCUUGCUCUUUGGGUGGCGAGUGGCGGACGGGUGAGUAAUGUCUGGGAAACUGCCCGAUGGAGGGGGAUAACUACUGGAAACGGUAGCUAAUACCGCAUAACGUCGCAAGACCAAAGUGGGGGACCUUCGGGCCUCACACCAUCGGAUGUGCCCAGAUGGGAUUAGCUAGUAGGUGGGGUAAUGGCUCACCUAGGCGACGAUCCCUAGCUGGUCUGAGAGGAUGACCAGCCACACUGGAACUGAGACACGGUCCAGACUCCUACGGGAGGCAGCAGUGGGGAAUAUUGCACAAUGGGCGCAAGCCUGAUGCAGCCAUGCCGCGUGUAUGAAGAAGGCCUUCGGGUUGUAAAGUACUUUCAGCGGGGAGGAAGGCGGUGAGGUUAAUAACCUUGCCGAUUGACGUUACCCGCAGAAGAAGCACCGGCUAACUCCGUGCCAGCAGCCGCGGUAAUACGGAGGGUGCAAGCGUUAAUCGGAAUUACUGGGCGUAAAGCGCACGCAGGCGGUCUGUUAAGUCAGAUGUGAAAUCCCCGGGCUUAACCUGGGAACUGCAUUUGAAACUGGCAGGCUUGAGUCUCGUAGAGGGGGGUAGAAUUCCAGGUGUAGCGGUGAAAUGCGUAGAGAUCUGGAGGAAUACCGGUGGCGAAGGCGGCCCCCUGGACGAAGACUGACGCUCAGGUGCGAAAGCGUGGGGAGCAAACAGGAUUAGAUACC